GAUGAACGCUGGCGGCGUGCUUAAUACAUGCAAGUCGAACGGAAAGACGCUGCACUUGCGGCGCGGACGUUAGCCGCGCGGGUGAGUAUAACGCGUGUAACACCUCCCUGUAUGUCGGUUAUCACUACGGAAAAGCGGAUCUAAUACGAUAUAAGGUAUUGAACCACGGUGUGGGAUGGUGAGUGACGGUUGUGCGGGCGCUUAUAGAUGGAUUCGCGCCUGAUUAGAUAGUUGGUACGGUAACGGCUUAUCAAGGCAACGAUGCGUAGCCGAAUUGAGGGGGGGAUAGGCCACAUUGGAAGUGAGACACGGUCAAGAGUCCUACGGGAGGCAGCAGUAGGGAAUGUUAGGCAAUGGGCGAAAGCAUGACGCAGCAAGGCGGCGUGCGAGAUGAAGGCCUUCCGAUCGGAAAAAUGUGUUAUACGGGAUGAACCGAUGUUGAAGGAGACGAGGAGGUAGUGACGGUACCUGAUAAAAAAGCACCGGCUAACUACGUG
rnacentral:rRNA from 1 species